rnacentral:piRNA from 1 species
UUGAGUUUAGAUAUAUUUCAUAUAUCU